rnacentral:ncRNA from 1 species
AUACGAUACUAGCAAAAUCACUGAAAAGUGAUCCGCGCAAAACUAAAGGGGCCUAAUCGGUUUAAGCCGAAAAGCUAGCCAGUUGCCGAA